GACGAAGGUGGCGAGCGUUGUUCGGAAUCACUGGGCAUAAAGCGCACGUAGGCGGCGACGUAAGUUGGGUGUGAAAUCCCUCGGCCCAACCGAGGAACUGCGCCCAGUACUGCGUUGCUUGAGGAUCCAAGGGGUGCAUGGAAUUCCCGGUGGAGCGGUGAAAUGCGUUGAUAUCAGGAAGAACACCCGUGGCUAAGGCGGC
rnacentral:rRNA from 1 species